UGUCUUUACAAAAAAUAAUUG
rnacentral:piRNA from 1 species